CGAUUUUUCUUUUUUUUUUUGGUUUUUUUUUGGGUCGCUUAAAUUACACACAAGUGCGAUCGGCUGCAAACCCUACUGGCUCGCCGAUAUGGCCGCUCUCCGUCUCCGGCUGUUGUUGUCCUUGUGUUUCUACGUCUCCGAUUACUGGAUAAUGCAAAUCCGAUAUCCAGAGGACUGAUUUGAAUCUGUAAGUUGUGUCGAUCGAUUUUACGUGCUUCUUCUUUCAGAAUGAUUUCAAUUCUGCGCAGAAAAAUUACCUGCUCAUUUUAUGCUUCGCCUCACUGUAUUACCCGCUCGUUUUGUCUCCGUCUUUUCUCUACUUCGAACGAAGGAGCAUGCAUUAGUUCUGAUGCAAUUUUUGAUUUAUUGCGGAAGAAGCACCGAUUUUCGGCCGAAGUGGCCACUAAAGCUGCCUCUAUUUUGAAUCAACGAGUGAAAGACACCGAGAAAUGCAAUUCGAUGCUGUCGUAUUUACAACAGCGUGGCUUUUCAAAUACUCAAAUGGAGAAAAUAGUGAAGGUCGACCCUGCGUUGCUCUUGGCUCGUCUUGACUAUAACAUUGAACCCAAAAUUACGUUUUUUCAGGACAUGGGCUUUUCUUCUAAGGAUAUUACCGAAAUAAUCUCAGCUAAUCCUUGCAUUUUGAGGAUAAACUUGAAUAGAAGAAUCAUUCCUUUAUUAUCUAUUCUAAAAGGCUUAUUAGGAAACAAUAAAGCUGUUGCCAUGUUUAUGAGCAAAUCAGGGUGGUUUGUAGGCUGUGACUUGAAAACGACUAUGCUUCCCAAUAUUCAAAUAUUGAAGAGCUUUGGCAUACCAAUGGAUUGCAUCAUUAAAUUCCUGUGUACGUAUCCAAGGUGUUUUUUGUUGAAAUCUGAAAUUUUUAGGAAGUCUGUGGAAAAGGCUGAGGAGAUGGGUGUCAAUAGAAACUCCGGAAUGUUCAUACUUGCUGUUCGAUGUUUAGCUCAAAUAUCCAGCAAUGUUUUGGAGCUCAAAUUGCAGGGUCUUCGGAAUUGUGGAAUCGCGGAAAGUGACAUACUGGUAUUAUUUCAGAAGGCACCAUAUGUGAUUAUUAUGUCUGUGGAUAACGUAAGGAGAACAAAAGAUUUCAUUCUAUCUAAUGGAAAGUAUAGCAUGUCAUCCAUUCUUAAUAACCCAGCAUCACUUUCGUGCAGCAUAGAGCAGAGAUAUAAGCCCCGGUUCCAGACUUUAGAAAUUUUGGAAAAUAGGAGUCUGCUUAAAAGUUGGCCCACCCUCCCAACACUUUUCAAGAUGUCAGAUGAGAAGUUUCUUGAGAGAUUCAUCCGCCCUUAUUCGAGUGAGCUAAAAAAUGCGUGCACAGCAGAUAAUUCUUUAAAGUUACAGCAUUGGUUGAAGAAUUGCUAAUAGCCGUGGCCAAUAGUUUCCAAGUGAUUGUGGUUAUAGUGACGACUGACAAUGUGUACACUGCAAUCUUUUCUUCAAAGUUAGAGCAUUAGUUGAAGAUUGGAGAUAGAUGUAGUCAAUAGUUUCCAAGUGAUUGUGGUGAAAGUGACCACUGGUGCGUUCCCUGAUGAAAUGGUAAUCUGUAUUUAGUUUCUUUGAAGAAUUGUUAAUAGCUGUGGCCAAUAGUUUCCAAGUGAUUGUGGUGAAAGUGACGACUGGUGCCUUCCCUGAUGAAAUGCUUUCCAGAAACCUCUCAAACUCAGUUUCUACCUCGUUUUAUUCACCGGAGCUUUGACGAUCAGAGGAGUCACUCUCAUUGGAGACAGAAACUGUUUUAUCUUUGGGUUAGAAUGCCGGCCACCAGAGGCACUACCGGGGCGUAUCUAAUUUUCGGAAAAAAAAUUUAUCCUCGACUUGAUUUCACGGUACAUUUACUUAUCGCAAUACCAAUUUAGCUAACAAUAUAAUUCCUAAUUAGUUAUUACAUAAUAAACCAAAGAUAACGUCAUAAGCAUAUGUAUAUAUUUACGAGGGAACAAUUAGGGUGAUGAAUUGGAAAAAUCGGCACCUGCAAUAUAUACAAACAACACAUAGUCUUAUAAUACACAACACAUGUUGUGUAUAAUAAAGACAGGUGAUGUUUAUUUAUAAUUAUAAGUGUGUUGUAUAACAGUAAGUGGUAUGAUAAAUCAACUAUUAUUUGUGUUGUAUAAGACUAUGACAUGUGUUGUUAGUUCAUGUGUUGUAUUUGUGUUGUUGGUUCAUAAUUAUAAAUGUAUUGUAU